GUCUACAACCAUACCACCCUGAAUGCACCCAAUCUCUUCUAACCUCAGAAGCUAAGCAGGGUCAGGCCUGGUUAGUACUUGGAUGGGAGAAGUAGAGGAGCAUCCCUUCAUUGGUUACCGGAGUUAAAUA
ensembl:rRNA 5S_rRNA 5S ribosomal RNA